CCUACGGGAGGCAGCAGUAGGGAAUUUUCGGCAAUGGGGGGAACCCUGACCGAGCAACGCCGCGUGAAGGAAGAAGGAAUUCGUUCUGUAAACUCCUGUUAGAAAGGAAGAAAGACGGAUGGAGGAAAUGACAUCCGAGUGACGGUACUUUAUGAGAAAGCCAAGGCUAACGACGUGCCAGCAGCCGCGGUAAUACGUGGGUGGCAAGCGUUAUCCGGAAUUGUUGGGCGAAAAGCGGGAGCAGGCGGUAGCAAAAGUCUGUGGUUAAAGACUGAAGAUUAACUUCAGUAAGCCAUAGAAACCGGGCAGCUAGAGUGCGGGAGAGGUUCGUGGAAUUCCAUGUGUAGCGGUGAAAUGCGUAGAUAUAUGGAGGAACACCAGUGGCGAAGGCGACGAUCUGGCCUGCAACUGACGCUCAGUCCCGAAAGCGUGGGGAGCAAAUAGGAUUAGAUACCCGAGUAGUC
rnacentral:rRNA from 1 species